rnacentral:rRNA from 1 species
GCAAGUCGAGGGGUAACAUUGUGCUUGCACAGAUGACGACCGGCGCACGGGUGCGUAACGCGUAUAGAAUCUACCUUAUACUAAGGAAUAGCCUUUGGAAACGAAGAUUAAUGCCUUAUAGUAUGAUGACUUGGCAUCAAGAUAUCAUUAAAGAUUACGGUAUAAGAUGACUAUGCGUUCUAUUAGCUAGAUGGUGUGGUAACGGCACACCAUGGCAACGAUAGGUAGGGGGUCUGAGAGGAUUAUC